rnacentral:rRNA from 14 species
GUUUGAUCAUGGCUCAGAUUGAACGCUGGCGGCAGGCCUAACACAUGCAAGUCGAGCGGUAGAGAGAAGCUUGCUUCUCUUGAGAGCGGCGGACGGGUGAGUAAUGCCUAGGAAUCUGCCUGGUAGUGGGGGAUAACGUUCGGAAACGGACGCUAAUACCGCAUACGUCCUACGGGAGAAAGCAGGGGACCUUCGGGCCUUGCGCUAUCAGAUGAGCCUAGGUCGGAUUAGCUAGUUGGUGGGGUAAUGGCUCACCAAGGCGACGAUCCGUAACUGGUCUGAGAGGAUGAUCAGUCACACCGGAACUGAGACACGGUCCGGACUCCUACGGGAGGCAGCAGUGGGGAAUAUUGGACAAUG